AACUAUAACGGUCCUAAGGUAGCGAAAUUCCUUGUCAGGUAAGUUCUGACCCGCAUGAAAGGCGUAAUGAUUUGGGCACUGUCUCAACAGCCCGCCCGGCGAAAUUGUAGUACCGGUGAAGAUGCCGGUUACCCGCGACAAGACGGAAAGACCCCAUGGAGCUUUACUGUAGCCUAAUAUUGGGUUUCGAUGUUGCAUGCACAGGAUAGAUGGGACACUGGGAAACAAUCGCUUUGGCGGUUGCGGAGUGGCCGUUGGGAUACCAUCCUUGCGAUAUUGGAAUUCUAACCUGCGGCUCUGAAUCGAGUCGGGGGACAUUGUUAGGUGGGCAGUUUGACUGGGGCGGUCGCCUCCUAAAGAGUAACGGAGGCGUUCAAAGGUUCGCUCAGCUUGAACGGAAAUCAAGCAAAAGAGUGCAAACGCAGAAGCGAGCCUAACUGCGAGACUGACGGGUCGAGCAGUAACGAAAGUUGGAGUUAGUGAUCCGGUGGUAUGUGAGUGGAAAUGCCAUCGCUCAACGGAUAAAAGUUACCCUGGGGAUAACAGGCUGAUCUCCCCCAAGAGUCCACAUCGACGGGGAGGUUUGGCACCUCGAUGUCGGCUCAUCGCAUCCUGGGGCUGUAUUCGGUCCCAAGGGUUUGGCUGUUCGCCAAUUAAAGCGGUACGCGAGCUGGGUUCAGAACGUCGUGAGACAGUUCGGUCCCUAUCUGUCGUGGGCGCAGGAUAUUUGAUGGGAGCUGUCCCUAGUACGAGAGGACCGGGACGGACGUACCUCUGGCGCACCAGUUGUUCCGCCAGGAGCAUAGCUGGGCAACUACGUACGGAUCGGAUAAACGCUGAAAGCAUCUAAGCGUGAAGCCGACCCAAAGAUAAGAUAUCCCAUUGUUUCAAACAAGUAAGACCCCUUGAAGACUACAAGGUUGAUAGGCACGAUGUGUAAGUGGAGCGAUCCAUUCAGCAAGCGUGUACUAAUAGGUCGAGGGCUUGACCAC
rnacentral:rRNA from 1 species